rnacentral:rRNA from 1 species
AGGGCGUAUGGGGGAUGCCUAGGCUCUUGGAGGCGAAGAAAGACGUGGUAAGCUGCGAUAAGCCUCGGGGAUUUGCAAACAAGAUUCGAUCCGAGGAUUUCUGAAUGGGACAACCCGGCAGGCAGAAGGCCUGUCAUCCGGCGACGGAAGCCAACCCUCUGAACUGAAACAUCUUAGUAGGAGGAGGAAAAGAAAGAAACAUCGAUUUCCUAAGUAGCGGCGAGCGAACGGGAAACAGCCUAAACCGAUAUUGUUACGGCAAUGUCGGGGUUGUAGGACUGCAACAUUCAAAUAACCAUGAACUGGAAUGCUCUGGAAAGUGCAUCCACAGAGGGUGAAAGACCCGUACAGGCAAGUGCGUUAAGCGAUAGCAGUAUCCUGAGUAGGGCGGGACACGAGGAAUCCUGUCUGAAUCGGCCGGGACCACCCGGUAAGGCUAAAUACUCCCAAGAGACCGAUAGUGGACCAGUACCGUGAGGGAAAGGUGAAAAGUACCCCGAACAGGGGAGUGAAAUAGAACCUGAAACCAUACGCUUACAACCGGUCGGAGCGGCUUCGUGCCGUGACGGCGUGCCUAUUGAAUAAUGAGCCUACGAGUUACUAAUCACUGGCGAGGUUAAGUGCUGUUAAGCACGGAGCCGAAGCGAAAGCGAGUCUGAACAGGGCGGCAAGUCAGUGGUUGUAGACGCGAAACCUUGCGAUCUACCCUUGAGCAGGAUGAAGGUCGGGUAACACCGACUGGAGGUCCGAACGAAUAAGCGUUGAAAAGCUUCUCGAUGACUUGAGGGUAGGGGUGAAAGGCUAAUCAAGCUGGGAAAUAGCUCGUACUCCCCGAAAUGCCUUUAGGGGCAGCGUUGUAAUUGAGAGUCUACUGGAGGUAGAGCUACUGAUUGGAUGCGGGGGCUUCACCGCCUACCAAAUCCUGACAAACUCCGAAUGCCAGUAGUAUGAUUUACAGCAGUGAGCGACUGGGUGCUAAUGUCCAGUUACGAGAGUGGAACAACACAGACCAGCAACUAAGGUCCCGAAGAAUAUGCUAAGUUGAUCUAACGAUGUUUUGUUGCAGAGACAGCUAGGAUGUUAGCUUGGAAGCAGCUAUUCAUUCAAAGAGUGCGUAACAGCUCACUAGUCGAGCGACAGAGCGUGGAUAAUAAACGGGCAUCAAGCAUAUCACCGAAGUUCUGGACACGAGAGUGUGGUAGGGGAGCAUUCCAUUCGCGCAGAAGUCGGGCCGUGAGGUUCGGUGGAGCGUAUGGAAAAGCAAAUGUAGGCAUAAGUAACGAUAAUGCGGGAGAGUAACCCGCACACCGCAAGACCAAGGUUUCCUGAUCAACGCUAAUCGGAUCAGGGUUAGUCGGGUCCUAAGGGUAAGCCGAACGGUGAUCUCGAUGGACAAUCGGUUAAUAUUCCGAUACUGACAUGAGCCUCGAUGGAGAGACGAAGGAACGUAAGUGACGCCAUCUGACGGAAUAGGUGGUUAAAGGGCGUAGGUAUAGGGACAGAUUAAGAGUUAGUCCUUGCUGAGACCCGACAGUACGGAGCGGCUACGGCCAAUCCGAUAGUUCACCCAAGUAUACUUCCGAGAAAAUCUUCUAAGUUUAAGUUCAUGUCACCCGUACCGUAAACCGACACAGGUGGUCGAGGAGAGUAUCCUAAGGUGCUCGAGUGAAUCACGGUUAAGGAACUAGGCAAAUUAACCCCGUAACUUCGGGAAAAGGGGUCCCUAUGAAAGUAGGGCGCAGCGAAGAGGUCCAGGCGACUGUUUAUCAAAAACACAGGGCUCUGCAAAUUCGAAAGAAGACGUAUAGGGCCUGACACCUGCCCGGUGCUGGAAGGUUAAGAGGGGAUGUCAUCGCAAGAGAAGCAUUGAAUCGAAGCCCCAGUAAACGGCGGCCGUAACUAUAACGGUCCUAAGGUAGCGAAAUUCCUUGUCGGGUAAGUUCCGACCUGCACGAAUGGUGUAACGAUCUGGACACUGUCUCAACCGUGAGCUCGGUGAAAUUGUAGUCCCGGUGAAGAUGCCGGGUACCCGCAACGGGACGAAAAGACCCCGUGAACCUUUACUAUAGCUUAACGCUGAGUCUGGGUACACAAUGUGUAGGAUAGGCCGGAGACUGUGAUACGGGUACGCCAGUAUUCGUGGAGUCGACGUUGAAAUACGGCCCUUUGUGUACUUGGAUUCUAACCCAGGUAUGGGGACACCGUUUGGUGGGUAGUUUGACUGGGGUGGUCGCCUCCAAAAGCGUAAC